rnacentral:tRNA from 1 species
GCCCUUAUAGCUCAGUGGUAGAGCGUUGCACUUGUAAUGCAAAGGUCCGUUGUUCAAUCCAGCGUGGGGGCA